CCUACGGGAGGCAGCAGUGAGGAAUAUUGGUCAAUGGCCGGAAGGCUGAACCAGCCAAGCCGCGUGAAGGACGAAGGUGCAAAGCAUUGUAAACUUCUUUUGUCAAGGGACAAAAUCAGGCACGAGAGCCUGACCGAGGGUACCUGAAGAAAAAGCAUCGGCUAACUCCGUGCCAGCAGCCGCGGUAAUACGGAGGAUGCGAGCGUUAUCCGGAUUUAUUGGGUUGAAAGGGUGCGUAGGCGGACUGGUAAGUCAGCGGUCAAAGCCCGGGGCUCACCCCCGGCGAGCCGUUGAAACUGGCUGUCUUGAGUUGGCGAGCGGUAUGCGGCAUGCGCAGUGUAGCGGU
rnacentral:rRNA from 1 species